rnacentral:rRNA from 1 species
UACGAAGGGGGCUAGCGUUGCUCGGAAUCACUGGGCGUAAAGGGUGCGUAGGCGGGUCUUUAAGUCAGGGGGGAAAUCCUGGAGCUCAACUCCAGAACUGCCUUUGAUACUGGAGAGCUUGAGUCCGGGAGAGGUGAGUGGAACUCCGAGUGUAGAGGUGAAAUUCGUAGAUAUUCGGAAGAACACCAGUGGCGAAGGCGGCUCACUGGCCCGGUACUGACGCUGAUGUGCGAAAGCGUGGGGAGCAAACAGG